CCUACGGGAGGCAGCAGUGGGGAAUAUUGCACAAUGGGGGAAACCCUGAUGCAGCGACGCCGCGUGAGUGAAGAAGGAUUUCGGUAUGUAAAGCUCUAUCAGCAGGGAAGAAAAUGACGGUACCUGAUCAAGAAGCCCCGGCUAACUCCGUGCCAGCAGCCGCGGUCAUACGUAGGGGGCAAGCGUUAACCGGAUUUACUGGGUGUAAAGGGAGCGUAGACGGCAGCACAAGUCUGGAGUGAAAUGCCGGGGCUCAACCCCGGAACUGCUUUGGAAACUGUGCAGCUAGAGUGCAGGAGAGGUAAGUGGAAUUCCUGGUGUAGCGGUGAAAUGCGUAGAUAUUAGGAGGAACACGAGUGGCGAAGGCGGCUUACUGGACUGUAACUGACGUUGAGGCUCGAAGGCGUGGGGAGCAAACAGGAUUAGAUACCCGGGUAGUC
rnacentral:rRNA from 1 species